rnacentral:rRNA from 1 species
CAGCCGCCGCGGUAAUACGAAGGGUGCAAGCGUUAAUCGGAAUUACUGGGCGUAAAGCGUGCGUAGGCGGUUUGUUAAGUCUGCUGUGAAAUCCCCGGGCUCAACCUGGGAAUGGCAGUGGAUACUGGCAAGCUAGAGUGUGUCAGAGGAUGGUGGAAUUCCCGGUGUAGCGGUGAAAUGCGUAGAGAUCGGGAGGAACAUCAGUGGCGAAGGCGGCCAUCUGGGACAACACUGACGCUGAGGCACAAAAGCGUGGGGAGCAAACAGGAUUAGAUACCCCUGUAGUCCCUGUCUCUUAUAA